CGGGGUGCAGCAGGCGCGAAAACUCUACAAUGCAGGCAACUGCGAUAGGGGAACAUCGAGUGAUCCUCAUAUUGGGGGUCAGUCCACCCGCCUAAAAAGCGGGUGUUAGCAAGGGCCGGGCAAGACCGGUGCCAGCCGCCGCGGUAAUACCGGCGGCUCGAGUGGUGGCCGAUAUUAUUGAGUCUAAAGGGUCCGUAGCCGGCUUUGCAAGUCUCUCGGGAAAUCCAGCGGCUUAACCGUUGGUCGUCCGGGGGGUACUACAUUGCUUGGGACUGGGAGAGGUAGGAGGUACUCAGGGGGUAGGAGUGAAAUCCUGUAAUCCUUUGGGGACCACCGGUGGCGAAGGCGUCCUACCAGAACAGGUCCGACGGUGAGGGACGAAAGCUAGGGGCACGAACCGGAUUAGAUACCCGGGUAGUCCUAGCCGUAAACGAUGCUCGCUAGGUGUCACAACAGUCGUGAACUGUUGUGGUGCCGUAGGGAAGCCGUGAAGCGAGCCACUUGGGAAGUACGACCGCAAGGUUGAAACUUAAAGGAAUUGG
rnacentral:rRNA from 1 species